GUUUGAUAAAAUGGCCCAACCAAACUUGUGCUCUCUUCUUUCUUUGCUCAGAAUUUGUUAUCAACAACUUAAAUAUGGAAAGUUGAUGCAAGGUUAUGAUAGUUUUUGUUAAAAUGAGAGAAAAGGAAAACAGCAUUGUUAGUUUAGUGUAUAUGUUGUGUGGCUUAUCUGCAUCCUCUCUAGCAAACCCAAAAUUUGCAAGCGGUGAAGAAGCAAUGCGUUGUUUCAGUUGCUAGUCAAUGGCAGGCCGCAGAGAUGGUUACCGACGAAGCUUGAAGCGUUGAAGCGCUGGAGCUGCGUGCCCUCUGGAAUCCUUCCUGUUUAAGUUGUUGUAAGACAAGUCGAGAUAACCCAAUCCAGAUAUGGAUGCAAGACUUCUGGGAAUUCGACCCCAAAGGGAGUUUCUUGAUAGAUCAAGAGAUUCCAACUGCUUCAUUUCUCCAAUAUUUUCGGGGAUCAAACCAUUCAGCUGAUUCCCUGACAAGUUUAAGGAUCCCAACUCCGACAAACUUGUUAACUCAUUUGGGAUUUCUCCGGACAGACUGUUCGCCGAAAGGUCAAUGCUGGUAACCAAGGGAAGAAUGCUGUCGAACUCCAGUUUACCGCCUUUUAUCACUAUCAGUGCGCUCUCUCUGAAUGCUCCUGCGUUGAAAAGGGAUGAAGUUAUGAAUACAUCUCGGUAUCAUGCCUGGGAGUUCAUUGUUGGAGAGAUCCAAUAUCUGGAGAUAGCUCAGCUGGCAAAUGUCUGAAGAUAUCUUACCACUCAUGUUGUUUGAGCACAGUAUCAGAAUCCUCAACUCGACUAGGCUUGUUCCUAUCCACGCCGGUAUGUUCCCUGUAAGAUUGUUAUCUGCAAGCCCCAUCUUCACCAGCUUAAUGCAGUUGUGCAUUGCAAAAGGUAUCUUCCCGGAGAAUCUAUUGUUUUGAAGAUUCAAAGAUUCAAGAUUAGCAAGAAAGCCAAUAGAAGGUGGAAUGCUUCCAUACAUUUGGUUAUUGCCUAGGCUCAGAUAUCUCAACGAAGGCCAUUUGUUCCAACAAUCUGGCAAUUCCCCACUUAAUAGAUUUUCUCCCAGAUGAAGAAUCUCCAACGAAUAUGUUGGAUAUGUCUCAUCACAUAGAAAGUGAGCUAUGCCUCCGGAGAAUGAAUUAUUGGACAAAUCAAGCUCCUUCAAAGUAUCUCCAACUCGAGGCAACAGGCCUUCGAGUUUGUUAGAACUCAAGUAUAUAAACUGGGCAGCGCCACGGACAUCUGGGAGCUCUCCGUGAAGAUGGUUAUGGGAGAGAUUCAAGAACCAAGUAUUCCAGAACCAGCUUGGAACACUACCUGAGAUUCCAGUACCAGCCAGAUUGAGAUAGUGGGAAAGAUUCUUCUGUGUCUCGAGCCAGGAAGGAAUCUUGGAGCUGGAGCCUAAGCCCCAUGAUCCUAGCCCAAGAGAAUUAAGUUGGAAGGGGGGGAUCCAACUUGGGCUUAUAUUCAAACUUAAUUGAUUGGAAGCAGCUGAAAAAACCUCGAGUUUAGUGAGAUUUGCGAAGAGGGAUUCAGUCACUACUCCUUCCAGCUUGUUGUAAAAGAUACAAAUCGAUUCAAGAUUACAAAGUUGGCCCAAACUAUGAGGAAGGUUUUGAGUUAGUUUGUUAUCACCUAAUGCCAAAACUUUCAAAGAUGACAACUUUCCCAUGCUGGCUGGAAUUGGACCAGUUAGUAAAUUCUUGUUGAGAUUAAGAUAUUCAAGACUCUUAAACCCCCUAGUUGAUCUAUCAACUGACCUGAGAUUUGAUUAAACUUCAAAUCUAGGACUUCCAAUGUUUCCAAGAAGCACUCUGACAUAUUUCCAAAUAAAUCAGAUAUAUUUCCUUGGAAAUUAUUGUUGGAUAAGGACAACCUUCUUGUUUUGCACAGGUUAGUAAAUCCUGCUGGAACUGCACCAGUUAGGAAGUUGUAAUCCAAAAUAACAAACUCCAAAUCUAUACAAGAAUAGAGUCAACUUGGCACUGUGGAGUUUAAAAAAUUGAAAGAGAGAUCAAUAUACUUCAGUUUGGUGGCAUUGCUAUUAGCUGGAAUUGGACCUAAGAAAGAGUUGUUCCUUAGAUCAAGAAAAUGAAGAUUGUGAAGCCCAAAUAUCCAUUUUGGGACUUCAGGGGAAUGGAAGUUGUUGGAAGAGAGAUCAAGAAGAGUUAAUGAAGUGAUGUUGAUAUAACUCAGAGAAGAUAUGUAACCAAGACUGCAAUUUUGAAAAUGAAGCUGUUGCAAAGAAGGGAGUGUGUUGAUCACCUGCACCCAAUCUGUAGCUCUGCUGAGGUUCACAAAGUUCAUAUUGAGAUGCUCGAGUCCAGAAAGCCGCGAUAACCAUUCAAGAUUAUCAACUUGUAGCAGGUUUGGAAAGCUUACAUAAGCAGCAAAUUCCAUGUCUGGGUAACCACCAUAAGUUGUGGUGUGAUAGUAGUUUUUGUGACCAGCAGACGCGAUGUUUGGAAAGCCGGCCAUAUCUAGAGUGCGUAGAUAUGAAAGGUUCCCGAUGGUAUGCGGAAUCACCCCAUGAAAUCCAGCAAAAGAGAGGUUGAAAAACUCGAGCUUUGUGAAUGAAGGAAGGUAUUGUUUGUUUGAAGUUGUUGAGACUCAAGUCAAGAUGAAUCAAGUGUUUGAGAUUGAGCAAAGAUGAAUUGAUUUGGCCUCUCAAACUCAAACCACGGAGAUGGAGUUGGUGAACAUGGCCAGUUGAGUUGUUGCAAACUACACCAUUCCAUUUGCAACAGUUGACAUCAUUACCAUCAUCCCAUGAAGAGAGUUGAUGGUAUGGAUCUUGCAAGUAGUGCUUGAAACUUAGGAGGGACUGUUUUUCAAUUUGUGGGCAGAAAAUAAAGUUGCAUUGGCAUAGGUUGAAACAAGUAAUAAGGUAAAAAAUAAGGAAGAAAGAGUGAGCUGCAAUGCUUGGAUUUGAGCUGCCCAUCUUUGUUGUAUUAAGGCAAGGGAUGAUUAGGAAGAUAUAUAGAGACUUUGUGCUUGUAUGACCUUUCUAUUUCCUUUCUAUUAUAAUGCCAAU